rnacentral:tRNA from 1 species
GAGGAUAUAGCUCAAUGGUAGAGUGUGUGCUUAGCAUGCACAAGGUCCUGGGUUUGAUCCCCAGUACUACCA